rnacentral:tRNA from 1 species
CCUGGUGGCUCAGAGGGUAAAGCGUCUGCCUGCAAAGCAGGAGACCCAGGUUCAAUGCCUGGGUCAGGA